AUCAUUUGCCUUUUAAUGGAGGCUAGUAUGAAUGGCAAGACGGAACGUUUAGCUGUCUCUCUUCUAAGUUCUUGAAUUUAUUAUCUUUGUGAAGAAACGAAGAUCAAGUCGUAGGACGAGAAGACCCUAUCGAGCUUUAGCUGUAAAUUAAGAUUAAAAAUCUUUUAUUUAUUGGGCUAAUAAAGUUAAAAGUUAGUUUUACUUAGUAAGUAGAAGUAAAUUGUUAAUAGAAUGUUUUGGUUGGGGCAACUGCGGAGAGAAAUUAUCCUCCGCUUUUUAUAGUAGAAAAAAUUACCAUUUUGGAAAGUUAAAGUUAAAAAGUGAUCCACUCUUAGAGUGAUCAAGGAAUAAGUUACCGUAGGGAUAACAGCGUAAUUUUUUUGGAGAGUUCAUAUUGAUAAAAAGUUUGCGACCUCGAUGUUGGAUCGGGACUUCCAGGAGAUGCAGCAGUUUCCAAGGGUUGGUCUGUUCGACCAUUAAAGUCCUACGUGAUCUGAGGUC
rnacentral:rRNA from 1 species